GUCACACCCGUUCCCAUGCCGAACACGGUAGUUAAGCUCUCCAGCGCCGAUGGUAGUUGGGGGUUUCCCCCUGUGAGAGUAGGACGUUGCUGGGC
rnacentral:rRNA from 1 species